GGUGUUGUGGCUCAGUGGUAGAGCACUUGCCUAGCAUGUGCAAGGACCUAGGUUCAAUCCUCAGCACCA
rnacentral:tRNA from 1 species